rnacentral:sRNA from 1 species
UCAGAUUCUUCUUCUUCUU